AGUUGCGGUGAGAGAACCUAUUUCGAAUUGUUAAUUAUAAGUGUUCUCUGUAUUUCUUUGUUGAUCGGUGAAGUUUAUGCGCUUUUUACUUUGAGUGUAUAUCUAAAUAUUUAAAUAAUAAAAUCGUAUUUGGUGCUUAUUUUUUGUCAGUGAGUGUACUGUUUUCGUUGUAAUAUUUGAAGUAAACAAUUACGUUUUAAAUUUUCAGUUUAAUGUAGCACCGCUUAGUGAUAAUUAAGUGUGGUCGGAAUGGCUCCAAAACGUAAACUUCCUCGAAUCACGUAUGAAAACUUUGAAUUUUGUUUGGACUCACGCUACAUUGAUAAAGAAGAAAAACGAUAUGUGUGUCGAAAUUAUCAUUCUCGUGAAAACAAAUGUUCAGUGGUAUUGUGGCAAAGAGAGAGAGGUAAAAUUGAAGUUCAUGGACAACAUGAACAUUCAUCGAAUCUUGGACAACAGUCUCUAGUAAUCAACAACGAAAUUGAUCAACACUUAAGUUCUAAUGAAUCAUCCAAAAGCAUUUGUCAAACUGUGAUGCAAAGGGUACCAAAAGUUAAUACAUUGAUGACACCUGGACAACUACGAUCAGAAUCAAUGGCAGAAGAUAUAGACAAAGACCGAAAAUUACUGACAACAUCGAGCAACUGGAUGAAGCGUUCCAAGCAUACCACGGAUUAGGGAAAUAUUUUCAAGAAAAAAUAAUUGCUACGGAUCAUCCAUCGCAUGGCUAUUUGGUAGCAAUGAAUUAAUGAACUCUGCAGAUAAUAUUGAUGAACUGCACAUCGAUACAACAAAUUUGGGUGUACCUGAACUAUUCGUAACCUGCACUCAGCUGUUGACAAUAAAUAUACGUCGACAAAACAAGGUAUUUCCAGUUAUUCAUGCUUUAUGCACGAAUCGAAGCAAAGAGCUUCACAGCGAAAUUUUCAAAUGGAUGUUAAAUAAAAUACCAUCAAUACGAGAGGAUUUAAAGAUUAUAAUUGUUGAUCUUGAUGAAUCAAUUAUUGCAUCGAUAAAGGAGAUAUAUUCAUGGGUGAAAAUAAGAUUUUCAUGGAUGCAAUUCAUUCGGUACAUCACCCGAAAAUGGAGGAGCUUCGAACUUCCACAGGAUCAAGUUUUUUACGAAAAACUACUUCAGAUGAUUUAUACGCUACCAAUAGUUUCCACGGAAAAUGCAAAAAUUUUAAUGUUCAUGAUCAACAGUGAAAUAACUCGGGUGGAAGAUGGAAUAGACAAUUUGGCAGAAUUUAAUCAAUUUUUAAGGAAUUUUAUACAUUCUAUUGCCCAUAGUAUUCAAUUAUGGACAAUGCCAUACACAAUUUUAAAUCUAGCUGAAGAAUACAAUGAGCUACUGUUAAAUAAGUUUCAAAAUAAAAAUCCCGAUUUUUUCAAAUUCUGUUCCAAUUUCGAACUAUAAUCAAGAAUUUUGAGGAAAAAUGGAAAGAAAUGGACGAUAGAGAAAAGAAGGAAAAAAAAAGAAGCUCAAGAGAAGCGAUUUUGAAAUAUGUUUGGGUGAUCGAAAGAGAUUGUUAGACGGAAAAAAAAUAGACAUCAUUGAAUUAUGAGUUCAAUAUAUAAUCACGUCGGAGUCCAACAAGUAAUUAACAUGACAUUAGCAAGAAAACUAUAUACUAACGAUUCUUCAGAAACAUGUCAUGAUGACGGAUGGGAUCUUUCAGAUAACGUAAUCCCCAUUACUUGAGAACGAAGAGGUAAUUGAAGAAGUAAACAUGGAAGUAGAGUCUCUACCAGACACAGAAUUGUUUGAGGAUGGGUCCAAUGAUUCAUGGGUAUAUAAAGCUACAAGAGGAGUGUAUUUUAAUGACUCAGAGAUUUCAGAAGAUGAUCAAGAUACAGAUGUGAUGUGUUUACAUGCUUAAGAAAUAAACCGAAAGUGACAUUCAUCCAUGUGGACAUCAAUGCAUUUGUUUCACAUGUUCAUUCAUGAUGGAUUUAAAAGAUCGGGUACGGAGACAGAGGAGAGAUAACAGAGGAAUAAAAUGCACUCAGUGCAAUCGAGAAGCCGAUAAUAUGAGCUAAAGAGCAGCUGAAGGACGAGUAAAAUAUCGAGUUAGUUAUAAAAUUUCUUUUAAUAAUUUUAAGCUUUAGAACAAGCUUUAUUACAAGAGUUUUGCA